rnacentral:snRNA from 1 species
GUCGCUUCUCAGCCUUUUGGCUAAGAUCAAGUGUAGUAUCUGUUCUUACCAGUUUAAAAGUUUUGUACUUCUGAGACAUACUUCUUAGAGACAUUUUAUUGUACAUUUAAGGAGUAGCUGCUAUCUCGGGGCACCUGGGUGGCACAGCAGUUAAGCGUCUGCCUUCAGCUCAGGGCGUGAUCCCG